rnacentral:rRNA from 1 species
UACGAAGGGUGCUAGCGUUGUUCGGAAUCAUUGGGCGUAAAGCGUGCGUAGGCGGCUUGAUAAGUCGGUUGUGAAAGCCCAGAGCUCAACUCUGGAACUGCAACCGAAACUAUCUCGCUAGAGUAUGGUUGGGGAUAGUAGAAUUCCUAGUGUAGGGGUGAAAUCCGUAGAUAUUAGGAGGAAUACCAGUGGCGAAGGCGACUAUCUAAGCCAUUACUGACGCUGAGGUACGAAAGCGUGGGGAGCAAACAGG